AACAUGUAGUAUUUGGUUUUCUGUUUCUGUAUUAACUUGCUUAGGAUUAUGGUCUCCAGUGGCAUCCAUAUUGCUGCAAAGCAUGAUUUAGUUUUUCCA